AUGGGAACGCGAAGAACCUUACCUAGACUUGACAUCUCCUGAAUAGUGUAGAGAUACAUGAAGCCCUUCGGGGCAGGAAGACAGGUGGUGCAUGGUUGUCGUCAGCUCGUGUCGUGAGAUGUUGGGUUAAGUCCCGCAACGAGCGCAACCCCUACUUAUUAGUUGUCUAACAAUUAAGUUAGUAGCACUCUAGUGAGACUGCCCGGGUUAACCCGGGUACGGAAGGUGGGGAGUGACGUCAAAUACAUCAUGCCCCUUACUGUCUAGGGCGUACACACGUGCUACAAUGGUGGGAACGAAAGAGAUGCAAUACCGCAAGGUGGAGCUAAACUACAAAACCCCAACUCCCACGUUCGGAUUGUAGGCUGAAACUACGCCUACAUGAAGCUGGAGUUGCUAGUAAUCGCGAAUACAGAGUGUCGCGGUGAAUACGUUCCCGGGUC
rnacentral:rRNA from 1 species